GAUGAAGAACGUAGCGAAAUGCGAUAAGUAAUGUGAAUUGCAGAAUUCAGUGAAUCAUCGAAUCUUUGAACGCACAUUGCGCCCGGCAGUACUCUGCCGGGCAUGCCUGUUCGAGCGUCAUUUCAACCCUCAAGCCCUGCUUGGUGUUGGGGUCCCACGGCCGCCGUGGGCCCUGAAAGGAAGUGGCGGGCUCGCUACAACUCCGAGCGUAGUAAUUCAUUAUCUCGCUUAGGGUGUUGGGCGGCGCUCCUGCCGUUAAAGAACCAUCUUUAACUCAAGGUUGACCUCGGAUCAGGUAGGAAUACCCGCUGAACUUAAGCAUAUCAAUAAGCGGAGGA
rnacentral:misc_RNA from 1 species